GAGUUUGAUCAUGGCUCAGAAUGAACGCUGGCGGCACGUUUUAAGCAUGCAAGUCGAACGGUAGUCCCGCUUUCGGGUGGGAUGAGAGUGGCGGACGGGUGAGUAACACGUAGGUGAUCUAUCUUAUGGUUGGGGGAUAGCCCAUGGAAACAUGGGGUAAUACCGCAUGAGGCUGUAGUUAUAGAGAUUACAGCGAAAGGCGCGUUAUGUGCCGACUGAGGAUGAGCCUGCGGUCCAUUAGCUAGUUGGUUAGGGUAAGAGCCUACCAAGGCGACGAUGGAUAGCCGGCCUGAGAGGGUGUACGGCCACACUGGGACUGAGACACGGCCCAGACUCCUACGGGAGGCAGCAGCUAAGAAUCUUCCGCAAUGGGCGAAAGCCUGACGGAGCGAUGCCGCGUGAACGAUGAAGGCAGGAAUGUUGUAAAGUUCUUUUCUUGGUGAGGAAUAAGGUUAAGAGUGGACUGCUUGACUGAUGACGUUAGCCAAGGAAUAAGCCCCGGCCAAUUACGUGCCAGCAGCCGCGGUAACACGUAAGGGGCAAGCGUUGUUCGGAAUUAUUGGGCGUAAGGGGCGUGUAGGCGGAUAUAUAAGCCUGGUGUAAAAGGCUUCGGCUCAACCGGAGUUGGGCGCUGGGAACUGUAUGUCUAGAGUACAGGAGGGGGAGUUGGAAGUCCUGGUGUAGGGGUGAAAUCUGUAGAUAUCAGGAAGAACACCGGUGGCGAAGGCGAACUCCUGGCCUGUUACUGACGCUGAGGCGCGAAAGCGUGGGGAGCGAACAGGAUUAGAUACCCUGGUAGUCCACGCUGUAAACGAUGUGCACUGGGUGUUGGUUCUAUGAAGGAUCAGUGCCGUAGCUAACGCGAUAAGUGCACCGCCUGGGGAGUAUGCUCGCAAGGGUGAAACUCAAAGGAAUUGACGGG
rnacentral:rRNA from 1 species